rnacentral:tRNA from 1 species
GCCUGGCUGGCCCAGUCAGUGGAGCAUGAAAUUCUUGAUCUCAGGGCUGUGAGUUCAAACCCCACGUUGGGCG